UCAAGAAACUUCCACAAUGGGCGAAAGCCUGAUGGAGCGACGUCGCGUGAUGGACGAAGUGCUUCGGCACGUAAACAUCUUUUAUGUGGGAUGAAAUUAUUGACAGUACCACAUGAAUAAGGGGCUCCUAACUCUGUGCCAGCAGGAGCGGUAAUACAGAGGCCCCAAGCGUUAUCCGGAAUCACUGGGCGUAAAGGGUGUCGAGGCGGUUGUAUUAGUCGUUCGUAAAAUCUACGAGCUUAACUUGUAGGCGGCGAACGAAACGGUACGACUUGAGGUUUGGAGAGGUGCGUGGAACUCACGGUGUAGGGGUGAAAUCCGUUGAUAUCGUGGGGAACACCAAAGGCGAAGGCAGCGCACUGGCCAAAAUCUGACGCUCACACAAGAAAGCUAGGGUAGCGAAGAGGAUUAGAUACCCCGGUAGUCCCUGAGCGGGCUGGCAAGGCGCAU
rnacentral:rRNA from 1 species